ACGCUGGCGGCAUGCCUAACACAUGCAAGUCGAACGAGACCUUCGGGUCUAGUGGCGCACGGGUGCGUAACGCGUGGGAAUCUGCCCUAAGGUUCGGAAUAACUCAGGGAAACUUGAGCUAAUACCGGAUGAUGUCGCAAGACCAAAGAUUUAUUGCCUUUGGAUGAGCCCGCGUAGGAUUAGCUUGUUGGUGAGGUAAAGGCUCACCAAGGCUACGAUCCUAGCUGGUCUGAGAGGAUAUACCCCCACACUGGUACUGAGACACGGACCAGACUCCUACGGGAGGCAGCAGUAAGGAAUAUUGGUCAAUGGUGGCAACACUGAACCAGCCAUGCCGCGUGCAGGAUGACGGUUCUAUGAAUUGUAAACUGCUUUUAUACGGGAAAAAACUUUCGGACGUGUCCGAAACUGAUAGUACCGUAAGAGUAAGGACCGGCUAACUUCGUGCCAGCAGCCGCGGUAAGACGAAGGAUCCAAGCGUUAUCCGGAUUUAUUGGGUUUAAAGGGUGCGUAGGCGGACUUGUAAGUCAGCGGUGAAAGCCCGAUGCUUAACAUCGGAACUGCCAUUGAUACUGCAAGUCUUGAAUAUGUUUGAAGUGGGCGGAAUGUGUCGUGUAGCGGUGAAAUGCUUAGAUAUGACACAGAACACCGAUUGCGAAGGCAGCUCACUAAACCAUUAUUGACGCUGAGGCACGAAAGCG
rnacentral:rRNA from 1 species